AUUGAACGCUGGCGGCAGGCCUAACACAUGCAAGUCGAACGGUAGCACAGAGGAGCUUGCUCCUUGGGUGACGAGUGGCGGACGGGUGAGUAAUGUCUGGGAAACUGCCCGAUGGAGGGGGAUAACUACUGGAAACGGUAGCUAAUACCGCAUAACGUCGCAAGACCAAAGAGGGGGACCUUCGGGCCUCUUGCCAUCGGAUGUGCCCAGAUGGGAUUAGCUAGUAGGUGGGGUAACGGCUCACCUAGGCGACGAUCCCUAGCUGGUCUGAGAGGAUGACCAGCCACACUGGAACUGAGACACGGUCCAGACUCCUACGGGAGGCAGCAGUGGGGAAUAUUGCACAAUGGGCGCAAGCCUGAUGCAGCCAUGCCGCGUGUAUGAAGAAGGCCUUCGGGUUGUAAAGUACUCUCAGCGAGGAGGAAGGCGUUGUGGUUAAUAACCGCAACGAUUGACGUUACUCGCAGAAGAAGCACCGGCUAACUCCGUGCCAGCCGCCGCGGUAAAAGGG
rnacentral:rRNA from 1 species